AUACGGAGGGUGCGAGCGUUAAACGGAAUUACUGGGCGUAAAGCGCGCGUAGGCGGUUUGUUAAGUCGGAUGUGAAAUCCCCGGGCUCAACCUGGGACCUGCAUCCGAUACUGGCAGGCUAGAGUCUGGUAGAGGGGGGUAGAAUUCCUGGUGUAGCGGUGAAAUGCGUAGAUAUCAGGAGGAAUACCAGUGGCGAAGGCGGCCCCCUGGACUGAGACUGACGCUGAGGUGCGAAAGCGUGGGGAGCAAACAGGAUUAGAAACCCCAGUAGUCC
rnacentral:rRNA from 1 species